rnacentral:rRNA from 1 species
UACGUAGGGUGCGAGCGUUGUCCGGAAUUAUUGGGCGUAAAGGGCUCGUAGGCGGUUUGUCGCGUCUGCUGUGAAAAUCCAGGGCUUAACCCUGGACCUGCAGUGGGUACGGGCAGACUAGAGUGCGGUAGGGGAGAUCGGAAUUCCGGGUGGAGUGGUGAAAUGCGUAGAGAUCCGGAGGAACACCAAAGGCGAAGGCAGUGUCCUGGGGAGUAACUGACGCUGAGGAGCGAAAGCGUGGGGAGCGAACAGG